CAAUCAUCUUUGGGAUAUCUAGUUUAAAAAAUGUGUGGCGUGACCCGGCCAACCAACCAAGAUGGCCGCCAUGGCUAAAAAUAGAACAUAGGGUAAAAUGCAGUUUUUUGGCUUAUAACUCAAAAACCAAAGCAUUUAGAGCAAAUCUGACAGGGUAAAAGUGUUUAUCAGGUCAAGAUCUAUCUGUCCUGAAAUUUUCAGAUGAAUCGGACAACCUGUUGUUGGGUUGCUGCCCUGAAUUGGUAAUUUUAAGGAAAUUUUGCUGUUUUUGGUUAUUAUCUUGAAUAUUAUUAUAGAUAGAGAUAAACUGUAAACAGCAAUAAUGUUCAGCAAAGUAAGAUUUACAAAUAAGUCAGCAAGACCAAAAUGGUCAGUUGACCCCUAAAGGAGUUAUUGCCCUUUAUAGUAAAUUUUUAACCAUUUUUUCGUAAAUCUUAGUAAUCUUUUACAAAAAUCUUCUUCUCUGAAACUACUGGGCCAAAUUAAACUAAACUUGGCCACAAUCAUCAUUGGGGUAAGUUGUUUAAAAAAUUUGUGGCGUGACCUGGCCAAUCAACCAAAAUGGCUGCCACGGCUAAUAAUAGAACAUAGGGGUAAAAUGCAGUUUUUGGCUUAUAACUCAAAAACCGAAGCAUUAAGAGAAAAUCUGACAGGGUUUAAUUGUUUAUCAGGUCAAGAUCUAUCUGCCCUGAUGUUUUCACAUGGAUCGGACAACCCGUUGUUAGGUUACUGUCCUGAAUUGGUAAUUUUAAGGAAAUUUUGCCGUUUUUUGUUAUUAUCUUGAAUAUUAUUAUAGAUAGAGAUAAACUGUAUACAGCAAUAACGUUCAGCAAAA
rnacentral:lncRNA from 1 species